rnacentral:rRNA from 1 species
AUUGAACGCUGGCGGCAGGCUUAACACAUGCAAGUCGAGCGGGGUGAUGGUGCUUGCACUAUCACUUAGCGGCGGACGGGUGAGUAAUGCUUAGGAAUCUGCCUAUUAGUGGGGGACAACAUCUCGAAAGGGAUGCUAAUACCGCAUACGUCCUACGGGAGAAAGCAGGGGAUCACUUGUGACCUUGCGCUAAUAGAUGAGCCUAAGUCGGAUUAGCUAGUUGGUGGGGUAAAGGCCUACCAAGGCGACGAUCUGUAGUGGGUCUGAGAGGAUGAUCCGCCACACUGGGACUGAGACACGGCCCAGACUCCUACGGGGGGCAGCAGUGGGGAAUAUUGGACAAUGGGGGGAACCCUGAUCCAGCCAUGCCGCGUGUGUGGAGAAGGCCUUAUGGUUGUAAGCACUUUAAGCGAGGAGGAGGCUCUUUUGGUUAAUACCCAAGAUGAGUGGACGUUACUCGCAGAAUAAGCACCGGCUAACUCUGUGCCAGCCGCCGCCGUAA